AGAUUUGCAACUCAAAUCAGAAACAAAAAUUUUCUAUUUUUCGGUGAAAUAGAAAUAAGUUGUGUCAAGUCCUCUUCUCCUCAUACGUCGUCUCUCUCUGUUUCAUUCUCUUUGAAGAGAAAUGGAUAUUUCGAGCUUUAACAUCCAGCUCACGUUUGGGUCCGAUUUGAGGAAGCUUGCAAUUUCUAGGGAUUUAUAACAUCUUCGGGAAGUCCUCCUCGCGGAAG